AAGUCGAACGGUAGCAGGUAAGUACUUGUACUUAUGCUGACGAGUGGCGGACGGGUGAGUAANGCUUGGGGAUCUGGCUUAUGGAGGGGGAUAACGACGGGAAACUGUCGCUAAUACCGCGUAGAAUCGAGAGAUGAAAGUGUGGGACCUUCGGGCCACAUGCCAUAGGAUGAACCCAAGUGGGAUUAGGUAGUUGGUAGGGUAAUGGCCUACCAAGCCGACGAUCCCUAGCUGGUCUGAGAGGAUGACCAGCCACACCGGGACUGAGACACGGCCCGGACUCCUACGGGAGGCAGCAGUGGGGAAUAUUGCGCAAUGGGGGCAACCCUGACGCAGCCAUGCCGCGUGAAUGAAGAAGGCCUUCGGGUUGUAAAGUUCUUUCGGUGACGAGGAAGGUUGUUGUGUUAAUAGCGCA
rnacentral:rRNA from 1 species